GUUCCUGUAGCGCAAUGGAUAGCACAUUGGACAACUAAUUCAAAGGUGAUGGUUUCGAAUCCCACCUGGAAUG